UAUUUUGUUCACACAAAUUUUCCGGGUGUCAUAGGUGCGAUUGAUGGAACACAUGUAGCCAUUUGGCCACCUGAUAAAAACAGAGAACACUUAUACAUAAACAGGAAAUUGUAUCAUUCUUUAAAUGUUAUGAUUGUUUGUGAUUAUCAUUGUAAAAUUUUAGCUGUAGUUGCAAACCAUGGUGGCCGUACGCACGAUGCAAGAGUAUGGAACUCGUCUCAAUUGUCGAGACACAUGUUAAAUAAAUAUGAAUACGGAAGACGAAAUGUCUGGUUUAUUAGGUAAUAAAAUUCGAUUAAAAUAUAUUUAAAAAAUGAGAUUCUGGCGGUAUCCCUUAUUACCAUAUCUAAUGACACCUAAACUGAAUCAGCCAGCAGGAUCUCCAAGUGCUUCUUAUACAGAUUGUCAUGCUACAGCACGAUGUUCAAUAGAAAGGACAAUAGGCAUAUGGAAGGGACGGUGGAGAUGUUUACGCAAAGAAAGGGCAUUACAUUUUACACCAGAAUUUGCUGCACUUAUAAUAAAUGCGACAUGCGUAUUACAUAAUAUUGCUAAGCAAUAUAACGUUCCUGAAGAAAUAUAUUUAGAAGAAGAAGAUUUUCCUGAAGAAGGAAUUGAGGCAGAAAAUGCAAAUAUGCGUGCAAGAGGACAUGCGACACGUGAAGCAAUAAUUGAAAGAUAUUUUGCAUAACUAAAUUAGUUUAUAAUAUUAAUUCUUUUAUU